rnacentral:pre_miRNA from 15 species
AGUGGGGUACAGGAACAUGACCUACGAGGUGAUAGACCAUGCGGCUGAGUCUGUCUGUCACUUCUGUAGGCCGACAUCCUGUACGUCCCUGCAACUUC